rnacentral:rRNA from 1 species
UAGGGAAUCUUCGGCAAUGGACGAAAGUCUGACCGAGCAACGCCGCGUGAGUGAAGAAGGUUUUCGGAUCGUAAAACUCUGUUGUUAGAGAAGAACAAGGACGUUAGUAACUGAACGUCCCCUGACGGUAUCUAACCAGAAAGCCACGGCUAACUACGUGCCAGCAGCCGCGGUAAUACGUAGGUGGCAAGCGUUGUCCGGAUUUAUUGGGCGUAAAGCGAGCGCAGGCGGUUUCUUAAGUCUGAUGUGAAAGCCCCCGGCUCAACCGGGGAGGGUCAUUGGAAACUGGGAGACUUGAGUGCAGAAGAGGAGAGUGGAAUUCCAUGUGUAGCGGUGAAAUGCGUAGAUAUAUGGAGGAACACCAGUGGCGAAGGCGGCUCUCUGAUCUGUAACUGACGCUGAGGCUCGAAAGCGUGGGGAGCAAACAGG